ensembl:snRNA U7 U7 small nuclear RNA
GAGUGUUACAACUCUUCUAGAAUUUGUCUAGCAGGUCUUCUGGUCUCUACUGGAAGCCCCGC